rnacentral:lncRNA from 1 species
CAGCAAAUAGGCACGCGUGAAAUAUCAAGUACGUGUUACAUUUCUCUUUUUUUCCCUAAGGGUUCCAACAGGCCCUUGACGAAACCCAAGUGUGUGAGCAUUUUCUUCAAAGAUGUAUUUGCUGAUAUUACAUAAAAAUAUAUAUACACAUAACGAAGGUACGUCUGCUGGAAACUUGGAAAAAUCACGGCGAAGGGUAGCAGAAUUGAUCAACAGUGGCAACAUGAGUCGAAAUAGUUCCAACGGCACAAUCGAUAUUUGUCGUCUCCGCCGGAGGCUCGCGGUUACUCCUGGUUCCGGAUGUGGAAGGUAUGAUGGCACAAUGGUCUGUUGUUAUUUCAUAAUAUAAUAGAAUCUUUUAAAUUUCAGUUUCAGUUUCUCGUGCGGUAAGUAUCAGCAGCUUUGGGGAUCGUCAGGAAUGUUUCUUGUGUAAAGUGGUCCCGACACCAAAAUGUUGGAGCACGCUACUGUGACUUACCGUUCUAGAAGUGGAAUCGGGAGGCAAGAGAGAUGCGCUCUUGCAUUUUGGUAGAGAUUGUCAAGUAGCCCUCAGGAAACGUUUAGUGGGCACCACCCGUGCAUCGCGGGUGGUGUCAUGGCUGACGCUCGUGACUGACACCAACUGACAGCCCGGGGACUCGGUGUAUAUUCUGAUGGACGUCCGAUGGACGAUGAGGUCCUCGUCCUCUGUAAUCGACAGCACAGAGACAGUACAUCCUGUGAUUCCCGUGCCCGGCAAUGUGGCGCGUUUACGUGACCGUGAGUGUUCCCUCGCUGUUUACGACUACAGUCACCUUAACGACACACAGCUGAAGCCCUACCGGGGUGAUCGGCAGCGACACACCUGUCACUGCAUCGUUCCCAGACGGCCGCGUUCCCGCCCUGGUUUCCUGCGCUGUCUCCGGCCUGUGCACCUGCAGGCCUGGGCAGGUGGCAACAAGAGACGCUGGAGAAAGGCAAGGUAGAAACAGCCCUCUGUUUGGAAACCCUACGGUAAUUCCGACUGGGGGGACCAGCAGCACUGUCGUUUACGGUUUACAUUUAAUAAUUCAGGCGGAGGCGACCUUGCUCCUGACGCAGGGCACCCCGUUUCUGACUCCAGGCCACCGGUAUUCGAGACGGUUGUUGUUUUUUUAAGAAACAUUUAUUUUUUUUUUCAACGUUUAUUUAUUUUUGGAACAGAGAGAGACAGAGCAUGAACGGGGGAGGGGCAGAGAGAGAGGGAGACACAGAAUCGGAAACAGGCUCCAGGGUCUGAGCCGUCAGCACAGAGCCCGACGCGGGGCUCGAACCUCGAGCCGUGAGAUCAUG